rnacentral:tRNA from 1 species
GGAGGCGUGGCCGAGUGGUCGAAGGCAUCGGUUUUGAAAACCGACGACUUGAAAGGGUCCGGGGGUUCGAAUCCCUCCGCCUCCG